GAUGAACGCUAGCUACAGGCUUAACACAUGCAAGUCGAGGGACCGGCGCACGGGUGAGUAACACGUAUCCAACCUGCCCUUUACUCGGGGAUAGCCUUUCGAAAGCAAGAUUAAUACCCUAUAUAAAGGAUGGGGAUGCGUUCGAUUAGGUUGUUGGUGAGGUAACGGCCCACCAAGCCUUCGAUGGAUAGGGGUGCUGAGAGGAAGGGCCCCCACAUUGGAACGGAGACACGGUCCAAACUCCUACGGGAGGAAGAAGUGAGGAAUAUUGGUCAAUGGGCGCUAGCCUGAACCAGCCAAGUAGCGGGAAGGAUGAAGGCUUAUGGGUCGUAAACUUCUUUUAUAUAAGAAUAGGUAUUAGAUGAAUAAGGAUCGGCUAACUCCGUGCCAGCAGCCGCGGUAAUAC
rnacentral:rRNA from 1 species